UACAGAGGGUGCGAGCGUUAAUCGGAAUUACUGGGCGUAAAGCGCGCGUAGGCGGUUUUGUAAGUCGGGGGUGAAAUCCCCAAGCUUAACUUGGGAACUGCAUUCGAGACUGCAUAGCUAGAGUAUGGGAGAGGGAAGUGGAAUUUCAGGUGUAGCGGUGAAAUGCGUAGAUAUCUGAAGGAACAUCAGUGGCGAAAGCGACUUCCUGGACCAAUACUGACGCUCAUGUGCGAAAGCGUGGGGAGCAAACAGG
rnacentral:rRNA from 1 species